GACGAACGCUGGCGGCGUGCUUAACACAUGCAAGUCGAACGGAAAGGCCCUGCUUUUGUGUGGUGCUCGAUUGGCGAACGGGUGAGUAACACGUGAGUAACCUGCCCUUGACUUUGGGAUAACUUCAGGAAACUGGGGCGAAUACCGGAUAGGAUCUCCUGCUGCAUGGUGGGGGUUGGAAAGUUUCGGCGUUUGGGGAUGGACUCGCGGCUUAUCAGCUUGUUUGUGAGGUAGUGGCUUACCAAGGUUUUGACGGGUAGCCGGCCUGAGAGGGUGACCGGCCACAUUGGGACUGAGAUACGGACCAGACUCCUACGGGAGGCAGAAGUGGGGAAUAUUGCACAAUGGGCGGAAGCCUGAUGCAGCAACGCCGCGUGCGGGAUGACGGCCUUCGGGUUGUAAACCGCUUUCGACUGUGACGAAGCGUGAGUGACGGUAAUGGGUAAAGAAGCACCGGCUAACUACGUG
rnacentral:rRNA from 1 species